rnacentral:rRNA from 1 species
UGGGGAAUAUUGCGCAAUGGGGGAAACCCUGACGCAGCAACGCCGCGUGAGUGAAGAAGGCCUUCGGGUCGUAAAGCUCUGUCUUUUGGGACGAUAAUGACGGUACCAANNNAGGAAGCCACGGCUAACUACGU